CCUACGGGGGGCAGCAGUGGGGAAUAUUGCACAAUGGGGGAAACCCUGAUGCAGCGACGCCGCGUGAGUGAAGAAGUAAUUCGUUAUGUAAAGCUCUAUCAGCAGGGAAGACAAUGACGGUACCUGAGUAAGAAGCCCCGGCUAACUACGUGCCAGCAGCCGCGGGAAUACGUAGGGGGCAAGCGUUAUCCGGAUUGACUGGGGGUAAAGGGAGCGUAGACGGCAGUGCAAGUCUGGAGGGAAAGGCGGGGGCUCAACCCCCGGACUGCUUUGGAAACUGUACGGCUGGAGUGCGGGAGAGGUAAGUGGAAUUCUUGGUGUAGCGGUGAAAUGCGUAGAUAUUAGGAGGAAUACCAGUGGCGAAGGCGGCUUACUGGACUGUAACUGACGUUGAGGCUCGAAAGCGUGGGGAGCAAACAGGAUUAGAUACCCGAGUAGUC
rnacentral:rRNA from 1 species